CGUAGGGUGCGAGCGUUAAUCGGAAUUACUGGGCGUAAAGCGUGCGCAGGCGGUUAUAUAAGACAGGUGUGAAAUCCCCGGGCUCAACCUGGGAACUGCAUUUGUGACUGUAUAGCUAGAGUACGGCAGAGGGGGAUGGAAUUCCGCGUGUAGCAGUGAAAUGCGUAGAUAUGCGGAGGAACACCGAUGGCGAAGGCAAUCCCCUGGGCCUGUACUGACGCUCAUGCACGAAAGCGUGGGGAGCAAACAGGAUCAGAUACCCUGGUAGUCCACGCCCUAAACGAUGUCAACUGGUUGUUGGGUCUUCACUGACUCAGUAACGAAGCUAACGCGUGAAGUUGACCGCCUGGGGAGUACGGCCGCAAGGUUG
rnacentral:rRNA from 1 species